rfam:Danio rerio chromosome 21, GRCz11 reference primary assembly.
GCCGGCAGCUAGCUCUCUGCAACUCUCUCAUGGUCGCCCACUGAAGCUAAGCAGGGCUGCGCCCUGUCAGUACCUGGAUGGGCGACCACAUGGGAAACCUAGGUUGCUGUCGGAA